rnacentral:rRNA from 1 species
AACGAACGCUGGCGGCGUGCCUAACACAUGCAAGUCGAGCGAGAAAGCCCGCAAGGGUGAGUAAAGCGGCGCACGGGUGCGUAACACGUGGGUAAUCUGCCCUAGAGUCUGGAAUAACUCGCCGAAAGGCGUGCUAAUGCCGGAUAAGACCACGGGAGCUUCGGCUCCUGCGGGAAAAGGUGGUCUCUGUAUACAAGAUACCACUCUAGGAUGAGCCCGCGGCCCAUCAGCUAGUUGGCGGGGUAAUGGCCCACCAAGGCAACGACGGGUAGCUGGUCUGAGAGGACGAUCAGCCACACUGGAACUGAGACACGGUCCAGACUCCUACGGGAGGCAGCAGUGGGGAAUCUUGCGCAAUGGGCGAAAGCCUGACGCAGCAACGCCGCGUGUGUGAUGAAGGUCUUCGGAUCGUAAAGCACUGUCGCGAGGGACGAAUAAGGGUCGGGUGAACAAUCCGGUCCGAUGACGGUACCUCGAGAGGAAGCACCGGCUAACUCUGUGCCAGCCGCCGCCGUAACAC